rnacentral:rRNA from 1 species
AGUGGCGCACGGGUGCGUAACGCGUAUGCAAUUUACCUUUUACAGGGGGACAACACUAGGAAACUGGUGCUAAUACCGCGUAAUAAAUAGAGAGGCAUCUUUUUAUUUUAAAAGAAUUUCGGUAAGAGAUAAGCAUGCGUCCCAUUAGCUAGUUGGUAAGGUAACGGCUUACCAAGGCCACGAUGGGUAGGGGAACUGAGAGGUUUAUCCCCCACACUGGUACUGAGAUACGGACCAGACUCCUACGGGAGGCAGCAGUAAGGAAUAUUGGGCAAUGGGCGAGAGCCUGACCCAGCCAUGCCGCGUGCAGGAUGACGCUCCUCGUUGGGUGUAAACUGCUUUUAUUAGGGAAGAACAAGUUUCUGCGGAGACAACUGACGGUACCUAAUGAAUAAGCACCGGCUAACUACGUGCCAGCAGCCGCGGUAAUACGUAGGGUGCAAGCGUUGUCCGGAUUUAUUGGGUUUAAAGGGUGUGUAGGCGGUCUAGUAAGUUUUGGGUGAAAGCCCACCGCUCAACGGUGGAACUGCCUGAGAUACUGCUAGACUUGAGUAUAGUUAAAGUUACUAGAAUUGGUGGUGUAGCGGUGAAAUGCAUAGAUACCACCAGGAAUACCAAUUGCGAAGGCAGGUAACUAGGCUAUAACUGACGCUGAGGCACGAAAGCAUGGGUAGCGAACAGGAUUAGAUACCCUGGUAGUCCAUGCUGUAAACGAUGAGGACUCGGUGUUGGCAUUUAUGUCAGUGCCCUAAGGAAACC